GUCAACAUCUCCGAAGCUAACCUGUUUGAUUAGCUUAGCGCGCGCCGGGGUGCGCUCGCUGGUGGGACUCACUCAGACAUGGCGGCCCGGUCCCUCCUUCAUCAGCACCGUCUCCCAGCUAGAUAACAGGCAUUGAAGAAGACGUGAAGCAGGAACUCUCGCCAGCGCCUGACCCUCCAGCACGUCUCAAAGGUUCCUGUUUCCAUGGACACCGAGGAUGAGGAGCACAGCAUCUGCUCUUUUCGUCUCCGUGGAUUCAGCGGGGAGUUUUGGAGUGAACGCCGCGUCAGGUCAGGGGUUGAGCAUGUGUUUCCCUUUUCUCUGCCCAUGUGGAGCAUCUCUAGUCGGAGGCAACUCUGCGUGGCACGGCUGAAUAAUGAUGUUUUCAGAGCGCGCGGGUCCUCCCACAGCAGCACAGAGCUGCACGUGGAACGGAGGAGCGCUGAAUGACAGAUUGAGAUCAUGAAAAUUACAGACAAAAGGAAAAUG